UACGUAGGGUGCAAGCGUUGUCCGGAAUUAUUGGGCGUAAAGAGCUCGUAGGCGGUCUGUCGCGUCGGAUGUGAAAAUCCAGGGCUCAACCCUGGACCUGCAUUCGAUACGGGCAGACUAGAGUUCGGUAGGGGAGACUGGAAUUCCUGGUGUAGCGGUGAAAUGCGCAGAUAUCAGGAGGAACACCAGUGGCGAAGGCGAGUCUCUGGGAUGAUGCUGACGCUGAGGCGCGAAAGCCAGGGGAGCAAACGGG
rnacentral:rRNA from 1 species